UCGCAUUUUGCGAAUGUAAACAAUAGAUUUUACGAAUACCAAUACAUCCCCGAUACAUGUCACGAAGAGGAAACCGUAUCAAUGUCGUACCAUGCCCACAGCCGUAUCGAAGGAUACGUUACUACAUGCAGCAUCCUUCUCACACCCAAAACGAUUUUCAAUCUACGCGAGUCGAGCAUGCGCAAUUAAAUUCAGGUCAUUUGGCACUUGACCGAAUUUGUGGUUGAAGAUUUUUUUGCUCCUACGAAAUAUCAAGACACGCGUGAAGACAUCCGGACGACCCCUCGCGCAUGGUAUUCCCCAGGACACCACGCCGAUUUGUUCCUUGUCGGCGACCAAAGGACCACCGGAGUCUCCCUGUUUGAAAAUUGACGAGUUAACGGUGAGCGAAACUCAACGGUGCUUACUGUUACGCACUUGCCACGGUCCUUGACGGACUGCAAAUAAGAAGAAGAAAAAAAAAGAAGAAAAAAAAAAAAGAGUGCCGCUUUAGUUGAGGGAUCCUU